GAUGAACGCUGGCGGCGUGCCUAAUACAUGCAAGUCGAGCGAACGGACGAGAAGCUUGCUUCUCUGAUGUUAGCGGCGGACGGGUGAGUAACACGUGGAUAACCUACCUAUAAGACUGGGAUAACUUCGGGAAACCGGAGCUAAUACCGGAUCAUCUUUUGAACCGCAUGGUUCAAAAGUGAAAGACGGUCUUGCUGUCACUUAUAGAUGGAUCCGCGCUGCAUUAGCUAGUUGGUAAGGUAACGGCUUACCAAGGCAACGAUGCAUAGCCGACCUGAGAGGGUGAUCGGCGACACUGGAACUGAGACACGGUCCAGACUCCUACGGGAGGCAGCAGUAGGGAAUCUUCCGCAAUGGGCGAAAGCCUGACGGAGCAACGCCGCGUGAGUGAUGAAGGUCUUCGGAUCGUAAAACUCUGUUAUUAGGGAAGAACAUAUGUGUAAGUAACUGUGCACAUCUUGACGGUACCUAAUCAGAAAGCCACGGCUAACUACGUG
rnacentral:rRNA from 1 species